rnacentral:rRNA from 1 species
GCCUAACACAUGCAAGUCGAACGCAGUAGCAAUACUGAGUGGCAGACGGGUGAGUAACAUGUGGGAAUCUGCCUUGUGGUUCAGGACAACAUUGGGAAACCGAUGCUAAUACUGGAUAAGCCCUUACGGGGAAAGUUUUAAUGCCAUAAGAUGAGCCCGCAUUUGAUUAGUUAGUUGGUGAGGUAAUGGCUCACCAAGACAAUGAUCAAUAGCUGAUCUGAGAGGAUGAUCAGCCACACUGGGACUGAGACACGGCCCAGACUCCUACGGGAGGCAGCAGUGGGGAAUCUUGCACAAUGGAGGAAACUCUGAUGCAGCGAUGCCGCGUGAGUGAAGAAGGCCUUUGGGUUGUAAAGCUCUUUUGUAGGGGAAGAUAAUGACUGUACCCUAAGAAUAAGGUCCGGCUAACUUCGUGCCAGCAGCCGCGGUAAUACGAAGGGACCUAGCGUAGUUCGGAAUUACUGGGCGUAAAGCGCGCGUAGGCCGUUGAGUUAGUUAAUUGUGAAAUCCCAAAGCUUAACUUUGGAACUGCAAUUAAAACUGCUCGACUAGAGUUUGAUAGAGGAAAGCGGAAUACAUAGUGUAGAGGUGAAAUUCGUAGAUAUUAUGUAGAACACCAGUUGCGAAGGCGGCUUUCUGGAUCAACACUGACGCUGAGGCGCGAAAGUAUGGGUAGCAAAGAGGAUUAGAUACCCUCGUAGUCCAUACCAUAAACGAUGAUUGCUAGAUGUUGGAAAUUUAUUUUCAGUAUCGCAGCUAACGCAUUAAGCAAUCCGCCUGGGGAGUACGACCGCAAGGUUAAAACUCAAAUGAAUUGACGG